rnacentral:rRNA from 1 species
GACGAACGCUGGCGGCGUGCUUAACACAUGCAAGUCGAACGGUAAGGCCCUUCGGGGUACACGAGUGGCGAACGGGUGAGUAACACGUGGGUGAUCUGCCCUGCACUUCGGGAUAAGCCUGGGAAACUGGGUCUAAUACCGGAUAGGACCACUGCCUGCAUGGGUGGUGGUGGAAAGCUUUUGCGGUGUGGGAUGGGCCCGCGGCCUAUCAGCUUGUUGGUGGGGUGAUGGCCGACCAAGGGGACGACGGGUAGCCGGCCUGGGAGGGUGACCGGCCGAACUGGGACGGGGGUACGGCGCAGACUCGGAGGGGAGGCAGCGGUGGGGAAUAUUGGACAAUGGGGGCAGGCCUGAUGCAGCGACGCCGCGUGAGGGAUGACGGACUUCGGGUUGUAAACCUCUUUCAGCACCGACGAAGCGCAAGUGACGGUAGGUGCAGAAGAAGGACCGGCCAACUACGUGCCAGCCGCCGCAGUAA